rnacentral:rRNA from 1 species
GACGAACGCUGGCGGCGUGCUUAACACAUGCAAGUCGAACGAAGAGCGAUGGAAGCUUGCUUCUAUCAAUCUUAGUGGCGAACGGGUGAGUAACGCGUAAUCAACCUGCCCUUCAGAGGGGGACAACAGUUGGAAACGACUGCUAAUACCGCAUACGAUCUAAUCUCGGCAUCGAGGAAAGAUGAAAGGUGGCCUCUAUUUAUAAGCUAUCACUGAAGGAGGGGAUUGCGUCUGAUUAGCUAGUUGGAGGGGUAACGGCCCACCAAGGCGAUGAUCAGUAGCCGGUCUGAGAGGAUGAACGGCCACAUUGGGACUGAGACACGGCCCAGACUCCUACGGGAGGCAGCAGUGGGGAAUCUUCCGCAAUGGACGAAAGUCUGACGGAGCAACGCCGCGUGAGUGAUGACGGCCUUCGGGUUGUAAAGCUCUGUUAAUCGGGACGAAAGGCCUUCUUGCGAACAGUUAGAAGGAUUGACGGUACCGGAAUAGAAAGCCACGGCUAACUACGG